GAGCCGGGCGUUCGGGCGGGGAGCAGGAGAAUUCUAAUCUCAAGGUUGUGGGUUCAAGUCCUACCCGGGCCACCA
rnacentral:tRNA from 2 species